UCAGUACAUCAUGAGCCUUCUGAAAACACCCAACAUGACAAACUUUGCAUUAGAUAUCACACAAUCAUAUUAUAAGGAUGAACAUGAGGGUGUAGAGUGUUCCCACGAGGUACAGAAUAUCACAGGGGGGUUGGGGCAUGAAGGGU